GACAAGUAGAGAUUUUUAACUAAAACAGCUUUACUACCUUCUGGUACUUUGAGUUUAGUAGAAGUAGUGGUCAAAUACAUGUCUGUUUCUUUAGGAAAACCACUCACAUAACCCUUGAAUAUCACCUGUUUGUUGCUCACUGUCUCUUCCUCACCUGCCAUCUCUUCUCCACUUCACAACUCUUCAAUCCCUGGUGUGGAUGAUCUUGUUUUGGCCAUCUAUAUAUACCUUCAGAGGU
rnacentral:misc_RNA from 1 species